rnacentral:rRNA from 1 species
ACCUGGAGGAGCAGAGUUUGAGAAACACCCAGAUUACAUCUGAUCUUGGAAGCUAAGCAGGGUCAGCUCUGGUUAGUACUUGGAUGGGCGGCCACCAACGAAAACCAAGUGCUGCAGGCU